GGGUUGGGUUGAGUGAAGGCAGGUCUAUUUGAGUUGGAUUCUUGUGACCACAAAAAAUUUGGGUGGUUCCUCUAUCCUGAAUUGUAUGUUAAUGCAUAGGGAUCAUUUAUGGAUCUUUGAUAGGCUGCGUUCACCUAUGCUACUCCGUUCUCGAUUGGACCCAUUAAAAAAGGACAUCCUUCCAUCAUGUGGUCUGUGGCAUUACACCCAUUGCAAGUGGAUGUUGCAACUUGAUUCACUUGGGUGUGUCCCUUGAAUUCUAGGGCCUCUAUCCUACGGAUCAAAAAUGCAAAUUUAGCAUCUUCAGCUAGGGAAGGUUGAACUUGAUAUACACCCCCUCUUGAAGGUGUGUGUCUAUCGGGUUCUUUAAUAAUCUCCCAUUGUAGGCUCUUUUCUGUGAG
rnacentral:lncRNA from 1 species